rnacentral:rRNA from 1 species
UACGUAGGGUGCAAGCGUUGUCCGGAAUUAUUGGGCGUAAAGAGCUCGUAGGCGGUCUGUCGCGUCGGCUGUGAAAUCCCGAGGCUCAACCUCGGGUCUGCAGUCGAUACGGGCAAACUGGAGUACUGUAGGGGAGACUGGAAUUCCUGGUGUAGCGGUGAAAUGCGCAGAUAUCAGGAGGAACACCGGCGGCGAAGGCGGGCGACCUGGUCCGAUACUGACGCUGAGGCGCGAAAGCGUGGGGGAGCGAACAGG